rnacentral:lncRNA from 1 species
CAUUAAUUAAUUAGGUAGCUGAUAACACGACUUGUUUUAUUUAAAAAAAAAAAAAAAAACAAUUAUUAAACGUUAGAUAAAUUUAUAUCGACUAUCUAUAUAAUAAAUUUUAAACAAUAUAUUCGUAAUGUUUUUAUUGGUCAAUUUUCAGUGAUCGAUCUAAAAACAUCCUAUCAAGUUUAUAUAAAAUAUUUUAUGCUGACCAAACAAACGGAUAUGCGAAAAAAAACAAAAAUAACGAAAACAACUAUAAUACAGUAUAAUAGUGUGUUUGAUAAGUCUGUUUUGUUCUAUAAAUUUGUAAAAGAUAUCUCAGUUAUUGUUUAUAUAUACAGUUUAUAUACAUAGCUUAUAUAUAAUACGAGAAACUGUUUUAGGUGUUCAUGUAAAAAAAUUAAAGCCGUCAGGUAAUGAAUAAAAUGGCCUUGUUAACAAAAGCAAGCAUCAUCUUUUCGUAUCUAACAAUCUGAAAUUUGCAUUUGGAAACUAGUUUUGGUGUCCUCAAUUCUGACUAUCCACACACAACACACACACAUACACAUAGACAAACGGUGAUGAACCGCAGUGGCGUCAUCACACGAAAUUGCUCGGCCGAGACGACGUGGCCAUUGUCCAACUAUUCUUUCCUCCUCGGAGAAUAUAAGAAUUGAUUUUUGUCUUUCAUUCUGGGUGGGUUCUCUGUUAGGAAGACGAGAGACGUGGCACAGUUCAUUCUUCUAUUCGAGGGACGAUCGGCUGUUGACCUUAUUUUCGUCUGCUACCGAACGUGACUUGGUAACUCGUACAGCAGAAACAGAUUCUGUACAGAGUUAAAUUAUCGAUAGAGAUUAGCCAUUUACGAAUGUUUUUAACGAAUUAUAAGCGAGAUUCUAGUCACGUGAAGUACUUAUAUCAUUUUUUCUCUAUGAAAUGACCACGUGAAUCUAAUAAAAUGUCUCCCAAUACCUUGAAAAUUGAAUUAAUGACUUCCUGCUGGAGUUUUGCCAAUAUAAACGUGUUUUUCUACCUGCAAAAUAAUCGGGAAAUUCCACAUUUAAACAUGUAUUAUGUUUUUUUAAUAGAAAAUAGAUGGAAAUAGUUAUUAAAUUCUACUUUAAUCAUUUGAAUUUCACCAAUACACGAAGUGGAAAAGGUUCAUAAAUAGAUAACAAUCCUGCGGUUGUUUUCUUUCCUUUCUGGUCUGCCAUUUCCCAGCUAGCUGCAUCGGGCCAUGGACGACUGAGGAAAAGUAUGACCUCGCUCCAACAAGCAGCUGGGUUGCUUUGUAGGGUCACCAUUAGUCUUGCCUGUUUUGCUUCAGGCACUGAACUGACCCCUUCUUCCCCCCUCCAUCGAUUCAACAAAGCAACAGACAGGGAAGUGAAAAUUCCUUUGUCAUUUCAGCAGGCACACAUGACCCUCCCAAGGGGUGCUUUGUCUGUUCAUCUGUCUCUAACACCACUUGUCCUUGACUAAAGCUAACCGAUGGUUGAAACAGAUAUACAGUUGCAAACUAAUAGUAAAAAAAAAGCUUGUACUGUAUGAUUUGUAUUUUUUUCUCUCUAAUUUGUGUUUUUAUAUUGUGUUUGUUACUGUGUUAAAAUGGCCUGUUUUUGUUAUAAACUAUUCUGUAAUUUUUUUUUAUAAACGGCUAUUGUCAAAUAAGCUUACUUAUUUUUGUAUCAAAUAGAGAAAUUUUUUUAAAUUUAAUUUCUUAACUGCUUUAUAAAUAGAGAUAUUCUAUCGUCACUUUUAUCUAUAAAUCUUAAAAGUGCUGAUAAUAUCAUGAGUUUUAG